AACAAACGCUGGCGGCGUGCAUAACACAUGCAAGUCUAACGGGAAUGUCGGCUUCGGCUGACUAGUACCGUGGCGAACGGGUGAGUAACACGUGGGUAAUCUAACCUCGAGUUUGGGAUAACCUUGCGAAAGCGGGGCUAAUACCGAAUAAGACCACGCUUGGUUCGCCAAGUGCGGUAAAAGGCGGCCUCUUCUUGAAAGCUGUCACUUGAGGAUGAGCCCGCGGCCUAUUAGCUAGUUGGUGGGGUAAUGGCCUACCAAGGCGACGAUGGGUAGCCGGCCUGAGAGGGUGUACGGCCACACUGGCACUGAGAUACGGGCCAGACUCCUACGGGAGGCAGCAGUGGGGAAUUUUGCGCAAUGGGGGAAACCCUGACGCAGCAACGCCGCGUGAGUGAUGAAGGCCUUCGGGUCGUAAAGCUCUUUUAGUGGGGAAGAAUCCCACCCGGGCUAAUACCUCGGGUGUCUGACGGUACCCACAGAAAAAGUUCCGGCUAACUACGUGCCAGCCGCCGCUGUAACAC
rnacentral:rRNA from 1 species